CCGCUCCGUUUGGUCGGGGACGGACGGCUGCUCUUGCUGGAACUGCAGAAACGAAGCGCUUAUAUCUAGAUUCCUCAGCAGCGUUCAUCUCACGGACCAACCCGGCGCGUCUUUAUUUUAGCGCCCAACCCUUGCACGCUGCACAAGUGGAGCGGAGCAGCAGAGAGGAGAGACCGAGGAGGAGGACAAGACGAACCCGAGCUCGAACCCGAUCCCAGAGACGACGUCCGCGUCCCGACCGACCCGAAUCUCCCAGCCCCCCUGACCUGCACGAAACCUCAUCCUACCUGUUCC